rnacentral:rRNA from 1 species
AGCAGUCGCCGCGGUAAUACAGAGGGUGCAAGCGUUAAUCGGAAUUACUGGGCGUAAAGCGCGCGUAGGUGGUUUGUUAAGUUGGAUGUGAAAUCCCCGGGCUCAACCUGGGAACUGCAUCCAAAACUGGCAAGCUAGAGUAUGGUAGAGGGUGGUGGAAUUUCCUGUGUAGCGGUGAAAUGCGUAGAUAUAGGAAGGAACACCAGUGGCGAAGGCGACCACCUGGACUGAUACUGACACUGAGGUGCGAAAGCGUGGGGAGCAAACAGGAUUAGAUACCCGUGUAGUCCCUGUCUCUUAUAC